ensembl:lncRNA
AUUUAUUUAUUUAUUUAUUUAUUUAUUUGCAUAUUUCUUGUUACCAACUGGCAUUUAUUUAUAUUGGGCUGGGGAUAUAAAGCUUUGUUAUUGCUCUGCCUCGGGUGAAUUGUUUAUGACACGGCUAAUGGGAGUAAUUGUUAUUGUUGAAAUUGCCUGUCAGGAGAGUGACAGCGGAUAUUCUGGCGCGCUUUUCCGCUGAUCGGCCUCCUCCGCCGGGUAAUGAACAGCGCCACCGUCCCAUAAUGCGCCUGUCAAUGCCGCAUGCCGCGCCACUCUCAUCUCAUUGAUGACGAAAAAAACAUCGAGACGAGUUGAGAAGAGUUGAGUUGCGAGCAGGUGAGAUGAGGAGAGAGAGUGAGUGAGAGAGGUUAACAAAAUAAAGGCAUUAAUUCCUGCGUGUGCUCUCCGUGCCGAGCUUUGUCUGAUUCGUAAAUUGCGCUGUGUGUGUGUGUGUGUGUGUGUGUGUGCGCGCGCGCCCGCGCGCGCGGGCGUGCGUGAGUGUCUGUCUGUCUUUACAAAAACUAUCAUUACAAAUUCAUUACACACUCAUUUCGGAUGCUUUCGUUAUUUUGCUAAGUUCCGAAUGUUUCGGGCGAAUGGGAGGGUCUACGCUCGAUAAAGAUCAUAUUCCAUGAUAAUUUUGCAUGAGUACCGUCUGUCCAAAAAAGAUGAGUUGUUACAAAAUUACAUCAUGUGUAAUAACUGUAGCUGUUAAGCUUCAGGGGCGGUAUGGAUCCUUUAAAAAUUUCCGAAUGACAAUGUCGGGUGUAAAGGACUAACACCGUUUCCAGUCUGAGGAAUCCGUCCGAUCCAAGCGAAUAGCAUUUCUUGAUUUGGCAUGGGCAACUGAAUUCCUCUGCUCUUCUUUACGCAGAAGCAAAAGAAGCGUGUAUUUUAUAUCUUAUCCAUUUCAACACAGCAUACCUAAAUGUUUUCUAUUGAUUUGUAAAUUUGUUAAAUAAAUUUACUAUGUAAACUGAGCGUAGAAAGAUACUGUGAUUAAGAAGUAAUAUCAGAUUUUACAAAAAAAAAAAAAAAAAAAAAAAAAAAAAGUGGCCUCUACAGUAGACUAGAACGGGAAACUCAGACUAAACUGAAUUUAAGUGCAAUUACCAGAGUCUAUAUUAUAAUUCUAGCAGUGUACAGAUUGUCGUACAGUUAACUAAGAACGAAUAAUUAUAGUUGCCUGAUAGCAUCUCUGUGAGUUGUAUGAUCAUACUCCAUUUUUAAUCUUUCGGUUUAACCUUUAUGUGUUAUAUGAUCUUAUUUCACAGCAGCCAGCGGAGGAUAUCGUACCCAGAGCAGUACAAAGAAAAACAUCUCCUCCCUUUAAUCAUAUCAAUCAAUUUCUGCAUUCUAUUUUAUUCAAAUAAUACCAUUAACUGUAUAUUCAUUUAUCAUGGAUGAAAAAGUAGAUGUCAUUAAUUAUCGUUUCCAGCAUGCAGCAAAGUUGAUUAUGGUGAUUUGAAUAUAAAACAAAACUACACAGAUGGGUGGACAUUAGGAAGGAGAGGCUCAUUUGAAUAGGUUAACAGACAUUAAUGGCAAAGAUGAUUUAUUUUUCCGGCCUGCGCUUUAAUGAUAUUGUUAUUCCAUGGAGUUAUGUGCAUCCUCAUGAACCCAGCACGGCAAAAAAAAAAAAAAAAAAAAAACGCUCGUGCACUUUAGGGUUUUUGAUUUCCAGGCGGUGAAAUGAUUUGUAAAAUUAUUAUUGCGCCGUCCACUUUAUGUGCCAUGCACUUCUAGAUUUCAGAGAUAAAAAGUAAUUGAUUUCACCUGUGGGACAUUAACCUUUAAAGUUAUUGUAAGUUGUAUUGUAAGUAACUGUUAAAUAAAAUAUAAUAAAAUUUGAAAGGGAAAACUAUCAUUUAACUACUUUCAGUAAAGAAUUCUAUAUGUUGAUGAAUAUAGUGGGCUAAUUUAUAUGCCUGUUAAAAAAAAUAAUAAUAGUAAUAAUAAAAUCUGUAGUGAUAGAUAUACAAAUCAGCCACUGGGUCAUUAAGCACUGCUCCUGUUUCUGAAUCUGAUUAAAACUUUAAAGAUUUUUUUUUUUUAAAUAUCCUUCAUUUUCUUUUCUUUUUUUCAGUGAGGAUAUUGUGCAUGUGCUGCAUGUGCUUUGUAUUAAUGAAAUCAUUUAGGAGGGAUACAAUACUCUAAGAGGCAGGAGCCAAUCUUCUGAUGAGGCUACUCAUCUUCAUAUUGUCAGGCACAAAAACAGACACACACACCCAUACACAUACACACACGCACACUGUACAUUCACAGCUACAGGCAUUAACCUGUGGGAAACCUUUAUGAAAGUGCUUCCACUGCCAUGUUCCAAUAUAUAAGAUAAUACAUCCUAAAAUGACUUUUUUGGCCUCACCAUUAAGGCUUUCCAUUUUAAUAAAUGUGAGCAGUGUGGUGAGACAGGUUUGGGGCAAUCUCUAACCGUAUGGUUGUUUUAUCUGUGUUGUCAGUGUGAAAGGAGGGGGAAGGCUUGCCCAGAGAGAGUUCCCCAGGUGCUGCAGAAGAGCCGUUGCACUUAAACUUGUUUCAUGAUAUCAUAAAGCUGCACUAGAUAUCCAAAUGAACAACUCGUGCCUUUCAUUGACCCCUGUACAGAAAAUCACUAGCGACAAUAGGUUUAGAGGGAGAGGAAUAGAAGCUGAAAGGGAAAGGCGGGGGUAGUGAUAAUGUUGGCAAGCCCGGUGUGGGAGCAGGUGCCAGCAGAGAGGAUAAUAAACACAAUACACAUGACAAGAUGGCUACUCACUCCAACUAAUGUCUUUUGGCUGUGGUUAGGUCAUCGGUCUCAAAAUUCCACAUCAGCUUAAUGAGCAUUUCUUUUCUUUGCCUUCUAAUUUUCUGCUCUCGUUUCUUAUUAAUUUCUUUUCUGUCUUUCAUAAACCUGCUGUCCUUCCCUCUCACCCUGCUGUCUUUUUUUUGCUUCUGACCUGCACCUUGGGCUUCUCUCUCUCUCUCUCUCUCUCUCUCUCUCUCUCUCUCUCUCUCUCGCUCUCGCUCUCGCUCUCUAUCUCACCAGUCAGGAUCUUAAUCAGCACCAGAUGGACACGGUGUCGAAAUUGUCCAAGAGGCUCGGAGAACGCAGGGAGCUGUCAGGCCUGUGGAGAGAGUGGAAUUCUUCAGCAAUAAAACUGGGAUUUAUUGCCUCUCUAGACCCUGCUCUGAUAAAAUGUUCCUUUUCAGAUAGAGGGAGGCCACUGUCCAUUACACUCACCCAACUCCACUACCAACCUAACAACAAGCUGCUGUCAGAGACCGAAAGCCUUCUCAUCCCCUACCGAGCCAAAUGAACCUGCUAAAAUAGCUGCUUUCCACAAUAGACUGGGUAAUUGAAACCAGAAUGUGGAGGAUUUGAUAAAUAGCUUGACCCUAAAGGAAUGCUCAAGUCAUAAAUUUUAAGUGCAUUUUGGCUGGGUAUUUUGGGUAAAUGCAUGUCUGUGCAUGUGUCUUGGUGUGUGCAUAUAUGUUCGCAUGUGUGUACAGGUCUGAAAUUUUAUUAUUUGUAUUAGUGGAUUUUUUCCCUUCGAUUUGGAGCAGGCACACAUGUAUACCAAAACCUUUGUGGGUUUUAAAGCACCUUUCUAGCCUAAGAUCAAAUGCAUGACAAAUAUUCUGAGUUUAUGGAGUUCUUUCACGUAGGCUAUAACUGGUUUAGAUUAAAGCAAAUUACAUGUGAAAUUCCAAAACAUGUGGCAGAAGGGUGUGACACGUUUAUCCAAUAAAACAGGUAAUAGCAUCUACAUUUAAAAUGUUAAAAAUUGUGACUAACACAAAGAAAAAAAGACUUGCUAAAACAUGUAUGUAUGUUUGCACAGGAAUGAAGUGGAUUUACUGACAUAUCUGUUAACUAUGUAAUCAUGUUAACCAUGUAAACAUAAAAACAUUCAGACACAAAGAUUUUUUUUCAUCAACGCAAAUUAUUCAUCAUUCAAAAAUAUUCUGGUCCCAAACAACUACGUUUCAACUCAUGUUAAUGACAAUAUUAUGAUAAAAGCUCAUUUAAUGUUUGAUUGAGGUAGCUGAAUCAUGAACAUGUUUAUAUGAUUCUGGUGUGUGGCUGUAGAAGACAUUCUGGCAUGUGGCUGGGCCAGCACUGUGUAAACAGAGCCAAAUAUUCAAUUUAUGAUGCUUGUCCCAGCUAAACCAGGGGUCUGUUUAUUUUUAGUAGCAUAAUUAUUUUUUGCAGCUUUUCAGUUACUAAGAAUAGGUGUUGUGUUUUUCUAAGAGCUGAAGGGCAUAUAUAGGUGCUGGGAAUGGUUUUCUCUGUGAUCCUUAACAAAGUCUUAAUUAUGUUUUGUUUUUGUGUCCCUCUGUGACUUUCUUUAGGGUGAUAAAUUAUACAGUCAUGCUAAAAGAACCUUGCCACACAAGACAGACUUCCACAGGGUACCUGGCUUGCUGACAGUUACCUGUUCAGCCCUCUGGUGCAGGAAUAAAAUGAACUCUAUUAUGAGUCAGAUGCAUAAAUAUUUCCAUUUCUAUUUUCCAAAACUGUUUUUAAUUUUACAAGUUUUAUAGCUCUAAUAUUAAGUGCAUGUGUUUUACAAGGCAUUGUGUCCUCUGAGUCACCCCCAGCUCCCCAGUAAAAAAAAAAAAAAAAAAAAAAAAAAAAAAAAAUUUUUCUACCUUGGGGAAGGGGGGAUUCAUGGGCCCCUUUCAAACACACUCCUCCACAUCCUAUAACCUCAUGGCCUUCCUUUUUAGGAACAGCAGCUCAGUGAGUUGGGGUCCAGGAACGGGUAACUCCCUGUGUCUCCCUGCUGGCAUGUUGAUCUAAGAGUCCAAAAACCUUCAUCGUCUUGACAAAGUUGUAUAUGCACUCAGUAUUCCAUGUAUAGAACAACUGCUCUGUUAAUAUGUUCUGACAUCCAAAAUAAAAUGGCCUGAUACAGUGUAUGUGCAUUCAGUGUUCUUUAGAUUGAUCUCUUAAUUUUUUUUUUUGGCAGAUCCAUAAGUUAAAACAAACCACACACCUGUCUGACUGUCUGAUUUGUCACUGUGGAAUGGAGUUUUGAAUGAAUCAUGAAAGUGGGCUUUGUGCAUGUGUGUGUGUCUGUUGAUGUAUGUGUGGAUGCACGCAGGGAGAGGAGGGGACUCAAGAUAUGAGCCAAUGCAAGAAUACGCCAUGUUUUCUCCCCCAGGGACAAAUUGAUGUCAAGUUGUGCUGUCUGUCAAUAUUAAGUGUCUAUUUGCUUUCUUUUCACAUGUGGCUAGCGCACAAAAUAGUUAGAAUCACCUCACUUCCUUGACAAAGCAUCUUGCCCAUGUAAAAAAAAAAAAAAAAGUGGAUGGAAAGCACACCUUAAUCUGAUUGCCAUAUCUGAGCAAACUCUCUCUGGUUAUUAAAGACAUGGCUGAAUUAGGGCUUUGCUGGUCAUCUUUACAAUAUCAAAGGACCGGUACCAGUAGCUUUGUUUUCCUGUCUGAGGGUUUGCUUUCCUUUAAUCCACUAAUCUGAGCUACAAUACUUUUUUCCUUUCCUUUCCUCUCCCUUGCUCCAGACCUCAUAUUGUGUUCUUAGUGCGGCCCUACAUAUUGCAAGCCUUGAUAUUGUGGUA